AUUGAACGCUGGCGGCAUGCUUUACACAUGCAAGUCGAACGGCAGCGCGGGCUUCGGCCUGGCGGCGAGUGGCGAACGGGUGAGUAAUUCAUCGGAACGUGCCCAGCCGUGGGGGCUAGCUCGGCGAAAGCCGGAUUAAUACCGCAUACGACCUGAGGGUGAAAGCGGGGGAUCUUCGGACCUCGCCCUAUUUGAUCUGCCGAUGGCAGAUUAGCUAGUUGGUGGGGUAAAGGCCUACCAAGGCGACGAUCUGUAGCUGGUCUGAGAGGACGACCAGCCACACUGGGACUGAGACACGGCCCAGACUCCUACGGGAGGCAGCAGUGGGGAAUUUUGGACAAUGGGCGAAAGCCUGAUCCAGCAAUGCCGCGUGUGUGAUGAAGGCCUUCGGGUUGUAAAGCACUUUUGGCGGGAACGAAAAGGACUGUGCCAAUACCACGGUUCGAUGACGGUACCCGCAGAAUAAGCACCGGCUAACUACGUG
rnacentral:rRNA from 1 species